rnacentral:misc_RNA from 1 species
UCUCCGUUGGUGAACCAGCGGAGGGAUCAUUACAGGACUCGCAAGACUCCUUCACCCUGUGAACCUCACUACAAGCACGUUGCUUUGGCGGGUGUCCCGGCGGGGGUUUUCCCUCGCCGGGGCGCACAGCCCGCCGGCAGCCUACUAUACUCUGUCUCUUUGCGUUGGCAUCUCGAGAAAAAACAAACAAGUUAAAACUUUCAACAACGGAUCUCUUGGUUCUG